UCAGCUCCCUGGCAGGGGAGAUACCAUGAUCUUGAAGGUGGUUUUCCCAGGGCAGCCCUUCAGCCUCUCCCUGCCAUCCGCUCAUGUUGAGCAAAUUCUUUUUGGUAUUGGUUGGUGGAACCGGAGCGUGCUCCGUCCACU
rnacentral:snRNA from 1 species